rnacentral:tRNA from 1 species
UGGGGUUGUGGCUUAGUGGUAGAGCACUUACCUAGCACGUGAGGCACUGGGUUCGAUCCCCAGCACCACAA